CCUACGGGAGGCAGCAGUAAGGAAUAUUGGUCAAUGGACGGAAGUCUGAACCAGCCAUGCCGCGUGCAGGAUGACGGCCCUCUGGGUUGUAAACUGCUUUUAUAGGGGACGAAAAAAGGGGAUUCUUCCUCACUUGACGGUACCCUAGGAAUAAGCACCGGCUAACUCCGUGCCAGCAGCCGCGGUAAUACGGAGGGUGCAAGCGUUAUCCGGAUUUACUGGGUUUAAAGGGUGCGUAGGUGGGUUCGGUAAGUCAGCGGUGAAAGUCUUCGAGCUUAACUCGGAAACUGCCAUUGAUACUAUCGAUCUUGAAUCGUCUAGAGGUAAGCGGAAUAUGUCAUGUAGCGGUGAAAUGCUUAGAUAUGACAUAGAACACCAAUUGCGAAGGCAGCUUACUAUGGAUGUAUUGACACUGAGGCACGAAAGCGUGGGGAUCAAACAGGAUUAGAUACCCUGGUAGUCCACGCCCUAAACGAUGGAUACUCGACAUUUGAGAUAUACUUUAAGUGUCUGAGCGAAAGCAUUAAGUAUCCACCUGGAAGUACGAUCGCAAGAUUGAAACUUAAAGUAGAAGUAGACGCGUGAGAGUGACGACGACGACGACGAGGGAGGAGG
rnacentral:rRNA from 1 species